GUACAUCAUGUGACUUUGUAAAAAGCAAGUUUAAAAAAUGUAAAUGGACUUUGAAAUUUUAGCAUCUGAAUAAUUUUUGAAUAACUGAAGUGGGAAAAAAAUACAGAAACAACAAAAACAAAAAGACCCUAUCAUUAAGUGGUCCAUCUUGUGGAAGUAAAUGGUAACUACAAGUCUAAUUUAAGACUACAGGUCACAUUGGUAGUAGAGGCAAAGUUCUUCAAUAGCAAAUUCAAGUCCAGAGGUAUGAAAUCCCAAAAGAACUUUUAAAAUUACUAGACCCACAUUUCUAGUACCCAUUACCAAAGUUCUUUUCCAGAGACCUUAUCUGAAGUUUAAUCUCUUUCAUCUGAGAACAUCUUAGAAGAUGUUCAAUAUAACUGAACAUAAAAAAUCCAGCUGUAUAUGUGAAAGUUUUCAAAAAGCUAAUUCCUAUAAAUUAUACAUGAUCAUAUUUCUCUGUACAUCUAUUGGUAAUGGUAACAUUAGGAAUAUAUCAUUAGUUCAUGUGUAGACAAAACGUGAGAUGGAAAAAUCUACCAGAUAUCAGGUCCAUAGCUCUAUGGAAACAGAGCACAUUUUCAUGUUCAGAGUAAUACAAAACAUUUUUGAAGAUUCUAAACAUAACUGUAAACUGCCUUAAAAAUAUAAACAAGAAUCCCUAAAAUUAUAUUUUCUUGGUAAGCAAUGGGAGAGAAAUCUGGAUAUGGUGUACAUGCUAAUAAUUUGAUUUUUAAGUUGCCAACAUGCUAGUAUAUAUUCUUUGUGCAUUAUACUUUUUAAAUGCAGUUUAUUAGCCCUCUUUAAAGAUGUGCACACUGAACAUAUUACUAUACUGGCCUACACCACCAGUUUGUUCCCUGUUCCCACCUAGCCUGCCUCUUGGUGGGGAUGCCUGGUAUGGCACGAAGCAUGAUUUCAGGAACCACUUGCUUGAUAUCUUGCUCUAAUUUUUACAAUCCAUAUUAGAUUUGUUUGCUAACAUUAAUUUAUUGGUGUGUUAUUUUGCUC
rnacentral:lncRNA from 1 species